AGCGAACGCUGGCGGCAGGCCUAACACAUGCAAGUCGAACGAACUCUUCGGAGUUAGUGGCGGACGGGUGAGUAGCACGUGGGAACGUGCCUUUAGGUUCGGAAUAACUCAGGGAAACUUGUGCUAAUACCGAAUGUGCCCUUCGGGGGAAAGAUUUAUCGCCUUUAGAGCGGCCCGCGUCUGAUUAGCUAGUUGGUGAGGUAAAGGCUCACCAAGGCGACGAUCAGUAGCUGGUCUGAGAGGAUGAUCAGCCACAUUGGGACUGAGACACGGCCCAAACUCCUACGGGAGGCAGCAGUGGGGAAUCUUGCGCAAUGGGCGAAAGCCUGACGCAGCCAUGCCGCGUGAAUGAUGAAGGUCUUAGGAUUGUAAAAUUCUUUCACCGGGGACGAUAAUGACGGUACCCGGAGAAGAAGCCCCGGCUAACUUCGU
rnacentral:rRNA from 1 species